rnacentral:lncRNA from 1 species
AACGUAUAGAUCAUGGCAACGUAUGUCAUUAAGCACAAAGCUGGUGGUAAAUUUUUACAUCACUUAAAUUGCCAAUCGAAUCCAGAUAAUGACACUAAUCUAGUUUUAUACGAAGGAACACAUGACCAAACACAUUUCGCCUUUGAUGUUGAGGAUGAUCAUUGGGGAUACAUACGACACGUAGCCAGUGGUAAAGUUGAACCCGGGAAACAAUACGGAACUUGUCUUACAUCAGGACCGUCAUGGAGGCGCUCUUUUCUGUAUUGAUAGUGUAAAUGAUGCCAUUAAGCACAAAGGAGGAAAGUUUGUUCGUUCGAAA